rnacentral:tRNA from 1 species
GGGCCCGUAGCUCAGCCAGGAUAGAGCGGCGGCCUCCGGAGCCGCAGGACCCGGGUUCAAAUCCCGGCGGGCCCG